rnacentral:sRNA from 1 species
AGCCAAGGGACAAGUACUGGUAAGA